rnacentral:rRNA from 1 species
UACGUAGGGGGCAAGCGUUGUCCGGAAUCAUUGGGCGUAAAGAGCGUGUAGGCGGCCCGGUAAGUCCGCUGUGAAAGUCCAGGGCUCAACCCUGGGAUGCCGGUGGAUACUGUCGGGCUCGAGUCCGGAAGAGGCGAGUGGAAUUCCUGGCGUAGCGGUGAAAUGCGCAGAUAUCAGGAGGAACACCAAUGGCGAAGGCAGCUCGCUGGGACGGUACUGACGCUGAGGCGCGAAAGCGUGGGGAGCAAACAGG